GUACUGAUGAAGAGUCCCAAACCAGGAGGAAACAGCUGUCAGGUAC
rfam:Trichobilharzia regenti genome assembly, scaffold: TRE_scaffold0009349